rnacentral:rRNA from 2 species
AACUGUGUGAAUUAAUGUGAAUCGCAGACU